GUUUGGUCCUGGCCUUAUCAUCAACUAUUACUCGACUUACACAUGCAAGUCUCCGCACACCCGUGAGAACGCCCUUUACCCCUCUACAGGAUAAGGAGCUGGUAUCAGGCACAGACAAUCUUGCCCAUGACACCUAGCCACGCCACGCCCUCAAGGGUAUUCAGCAGUGAUAAACAUUGUUUAUAAGCGCCAGCUUGACUCAGUCAGGGUAAACAGAGCCGGCUAAUCCGGUGCCAGCCGCCGCGGCUACACCGUCGGGCUCAAGUUGACUACACCGGCGUUAAGCGUGAUUAAAGUGAACUUGCGAUUAGAAUUAAACUUUAACCAAGUCGUGACACACUUGCUAUUAGGAAGACCAUAAACGAAAGUUAUUCUAACAUACCCACUUGAACCCACGACAGCUGGGGCACAAACUGGGAUUAGGUACCCCACUAUGCCCAGCCGUAAAAUAUUAACUCACACUCAAAACCGCCAGGGAAUUACGAGCCCAAGCUUAAAACCCAAAGGACUUGACGGUGUCCCACCCACCUAGAGGAGCCUGUUCUAUAAUCGAUUCUCCCCGAUAAACCUCACCACUUCUAGCCAACUCAGCCUGUAUACCUCCGUCGUAAGCUUACCAUAUGAACGCUAAUUAGUGAGCUUAAAGAUCUUUACAUCAACACGUCAGGUCAAGGUGCAGCUCACGAAGUGGGAAGUAAUGGGCUACAAUUUCUAACUUAGAACACACGAAAGACUACAUGAAACACAGUCAUGAAGGCGGAUUUAGCAGUAAAAAGAAAAUAGAGAGUUCUUUUUAAUUAGGCGCUGGGACGCGUACACACCGCCCGUCACCCUCUUCAAACGCCCACAAACGUUAAUUAACACCUAACCGCACCAUAGAAGAGGUAAGUCGUAACACGGUAAGCGUACUGGAAAGUGCGCUUGGACUAACAAAAUGUAGCUUAACCCAAAGCAUCUCGCUUACACCGAAAACAUAUCUGUUCAACCCAGAUCAUUUUGAGCUAAAAACCUAGCCCAAUUAAUGCAAAUGCCUCAACACACCAACUGCAAUAAAACAAAACAUUCUAAACUUUUAGUAAAGGCGAUUGAAAAAUACCUAGGAGCUAUAACAACAGUACCGCAAGGGAAAGAUGAAAUAAAAAUGAAAUAACUUUAAAGCAAAAUUAAGCAGAGACACAACCUCGUACCUUUUGCAUCAUGGUCUAGCUAGUCGAACCAAGCAAAACGCACUUACAGUUUGACACCCCGAAACUAGGUGAGCUACUUCAAAACAGCCUUCAAGGGCCAACCCAUCUCUGUUGCAAAAGAGUGGGAAGAUUUUCAAGUAGAGGUGACAGACCUACCGAGCCUAGAGAUAGCUGGUUAUUCAGGAAAAGGAUUUAAGUCCUACCUUAAGCUUUGUCAUAUUCUCAAAUACCAAUUAAAACUUAAGAGCUAUUCAAAUAAGGUACAGCCUAUUUGAAACAGGAGACAACCUCGAAUAUAGGGUAAUGAUAUUCUUCACAUGAUCAAGUGGGCCUAAAAGCAGCCAACUUUCAAAAAGCGUUAAAGCUUCAUCAUUUAAUAUGACUAAUCCCUAAACCUACACAAAACCCUUUACCACUACUGAAUGACUCCAUAACUUUAUGGAGGACACUAUGCUAGAACUAGUAAUAAGAAGAAGACCUUCUCCAAAAUGUAAGUGUAAGCCAGAAUGAACCCCUCACUGGCAAUUACCGUCUAUGAGUCAACAGUAGUAACCCCCCAAGAAAACUCUACUAUCCUUGACGUUAAUCUUACACAAGGACAUUACUGGAAAGAUUAAAAAAAGAGGAAGGAACUCGGCAAAUUUUAACCCCGCCUGUUUACCAAAAACAUCGCCUCCUGAGACAACUAUAGGAGGUCCAGCCUGCCCAGUGACAAAGUUAAACGGCCGCGGUACCCUAACCGUGCGAAGGUAGCGCAAUCACUUGUUCUUUAAAUGAGGACUAGUAUGAAUGGCAUCACGAGGGUUAUACUGUCUCCCCCUUUUAAUCAAUGAAACUGAUCUCCCCGUGAAGAAGCGGGGAUAAGCCUAUAAGACGAGAAGACCCCAUGGAGCUUAAAACUCAGUACCAACUGCCUCAUUAUAUAUCCAUUAAACCAAGCAGAUAUGGCUGCUAGUUUUCGGUUGGGGUGACCGCGGAGCAAAACAAAACCUCCACGAUGAAAGGAACUAACCUCCUAAUCAAAGAACCACACUUCUAAGAAUCAACAAAUUGACAUUAAUUGAUCCAAUUUUUUUGAUCAACGAACCAAGUUACCCUGGGGAUAACAGCGCAAUCCAUUUCAAGAGCCCCUAUCGACAAAUGGGUUUACGACCUCGAUGUUGGAUCAGGGUAUCCUAGUGGUGCAGCCGCUACUAAAGGUUCG
rnacentral:misc_RNA from 1 species